rnacentral:misc_RNA from 1 species
GAUGAAGAACGUAGCAAAAUGCGAUAAGUAAUGUGAAUUGCAGUAUUCAGUGAAUCAUCGAAUCUUUGAACGCACAUUGCGCCCGCCAGUACUCUGGCGGGCAUGCCUGUCCGAGCGUCAUUUCAACCCUCAGGGCCCUCCAGCAGGGCGCUGGUGUUGGGGAUCGGCAGUCCCAGCGGCUGCCGUCCCUGAAAUGUAGUGGCGGUCCCACCGUGACCUCCCCUGUGCAGUACAUCGCUCGCAGAGGGACAGCGGUGCGGCCACGCCGUAAAACGCCCAACUCUUCAAGGUUGACCUCGGAUCAGGUAGGACUACCCGCUGAACUUAAGCAUAUCAAUAAGCGGAGGA